ensembl:lncRNA
GCUAUAUAAAGUAGCCAUGGUGGUGGGGGUGGUUUAGUCACUAAGUCAUGUCCAACCCUUGCAACUUCAUGGACUAUAGCCUGCCAGGCUCUUCUGUCUGUGAGACUGCCCAGGCAAGAAUACUGGAGUGGGUUGCUUAGCCAUAGGUAUGCUCUAUUUUAGAUGCUUUGAACAGUACAUAUCUAGAAUGGCCCACGGUGUUUGAAAUCCUGCAUGGACCCAUUUUUUGUGAGUAGUGAGGGAAAGUCAAGUGGGCUCAAUGAAUGCCCUUCUCUGAUGAUCCCAAACGGUCCAUUCCACCCCCCUUCCAGGCAGUUUUCUGUGAGGUAGUGUAACACAGCAGGAUGGGCACAUCACUUAGCAGGCAGCCACUGCUGGGCCUCAUUACUCCACACCCUGUUACUAGGCAACAGGUCUUGCUCAGCCAUUGGUCCGGUUCCUCAGUGGGCUCUGCCCAUAAGCCACAAACUGUCAAUGAGAAACCGUAGUUGUCCUGCUCAGCUACUGGUCAGUGCCACAGUGGACCCUGCCCACAAGUAACAGUCAGUGAGGGACCGUUAGCCAGGACUGGGACCUUGGAGGGUGCAAGUUGUGCCUUGGGACCUUGCUCUUUCUUGUCAGGACAGAGAAUAACAUUCAUCUGGUAGAGAUUUACAGGAACAUCGCUACCUGACCAUGACCUGACCUGAAGAACAAAGGCUCUGACACCAAGAAGUCUGCAACAACUUAACCACAGCCCACCCUCACCUUUGGCUUUUGAAGGGGCUUGCUGAAAGCUUUCAGUAACCUUGGGGUUUUUAGGGUAUGAGCCACCCUCUCCUUGUAUGAACCUGUAAUAAACCUUUCUCUGUUUCAAACUCUAUGUUUUAUUAUUGAUUGGCCUCACUGUGCCUGGGGCACAUGCACUUGAGAUUUGGUAACAGUAGGAUGAGGAGGGAAGCAGGGGGGCGGGGAGGGGCGGGGUGUGUUGGGGGGUGGGGAUAGAGGAGUGAGUGGCUCCCAAAGCUACCCAGCGGGCAGGUGCCUCCCCAGGAGUCACCACUCAGUCUCACUCAUCGCCGGAGGGACGUUCUCACCUCCAGCUUAUCUGUCAGUUCCUUGUGCAUCUGCUCAUCCUGCCGACUCUUGUUCCGGUUCCUCUUCAGCAAUGCCGUGCCCCCUCGGGUCGCUAACACCAGAUCCUUCUGCCGGAUUCUGGGCGGGCGCGGUGGCUGCAGUCCGACCCUCCCUGGGCUUGUCCUGGGGAUGCUCCCCGGGUUCGGAAGCCCGUUCCCCGGCCGCCAGCAGCUCCAGUUCCUCCUCUAGCGCCAGUUCCAGCUCCGCCGGGCCCCCGGGAAAGAAGUUGAGGGCGGCGACAGCAUUGCGACCUCAGCCGCGGCAAGCAGCCAAGCGUAGCAGGCGCUCUUCAGCUUGGCGGGUGUUGAAGCGCGGCCGCCAGGCCCAGGCAGGAGGCGGGCGGACUUGGCCCGCGCGGAGCCCUCAGCGGUGCGGCUGGCCGGCCGGCAGGGUGGAGGGGCCCCGACCCGCCGGCCGGCCGCGCCCCUCCGCCGAUCCCGGGCUCAGGGGGUCGGCGCUUGCUGGGGAGGAGGCGGUAACAAAGGAUGAGGAAGGGGAGACUGAGGAGACAGGAAGCAGGAGGAAGGUUGCGACGGGGAACCACCAGGUUUUCAGUCGCCUUGUUGCUGCUAGGUGGGGCUGCCGCGGUCGCCCGGGCAACGCCUUGCGGGGCGUUCUGCUGUCGCUGCGACGCUUGAUGGAACCGAGCUCCUUGUCCCUUGGCUCGGCGGCAGCAGCAGCGACAGCGGUUCCAGGUCUCGCGCAGCACAGCCCCGCGAGCUCCUCCCUGCAUUCCUCAGCUCCUCCAGUUCUCCCGGCCAGCCGCACCCCCUCUCCCCGCCCCUUGCCGGCACAGGACGCGCGCGGACACCUGUUCACCGCGUCCGCGAGCGAUUCGCCGGUUCAUGCAUCUCCUCAGCGGCGCCCAGGCGACGCUGGCGGCCUGAACUCCUGGGCGCGCUACCUGUGGAGACCGCUGUUGCCUUCCUAACGGUCUUGGCGCUUCUCGGGUGCGGUCACGCCCCCGGCCUCACACCCACC